rnacentral:ribozyme from 12 species
UAUUUAGGUCUUAUUUCGAAAAGUCUGUUUUUUUUUUUUUUUUCCUUUUCUCUUUUUUCUUUCUUU